UACGGAGGGUGCAAGCGUUGUUCGGAAUUAUUGGGCGUAAAGAGCGUGUAGGCGGUCCGGUAAGUCAGCUGUGAAAGUCAAGGGCUCAACCCUUGAAUGCCGGUUGAUACUGUCGGGCUAGAGUCCGGAAGAGGCGAGUGGAAUUCCCGGUGUAGCGGUGAAAUGCGCAGAUAUCGGGAGGAACACCAAUGGCGAAGGCAGCUCGCUGGGACGGUACUGACGCUGAGACGCGAAAGCGUGGGGAGCAAACAGG
rnacentral:rRNA from 1 species